rnacentral:rRNA from 1 species
AAGCCGAGUUAAGGCGAAACCGCGAAUGGCUCAUUAAAUCAGCUAUGUUUCAUUGGAUCUGUAAACCCCACUUACUUGGAUAACUGUGGUAAUUCUAGAGCUAAUACAUGCAUCAUCACGUCUCUGACCGCAAGGGAAGAGCGCUUUUAUUAGUUCAAAACUGGUCGGGCCUCGGUCCGUUAAAACCCACCUGUGGUGAAUCUGAAUAACUUUUCGCUGAGCGCACGGUCUCUGCACUGGCGCCGCGUCUUUCAAGUGUCUGCCUUAUCAGCUUUCGAUUGUAGGUUAUGCGCCUACAAUGGCUAUAACGGGUAACGGGGAAUCAGGGUUCGAUUCCGGAGAGGGAGCCUGAGAAACGGCUACCACAUCUAAGGAAGGCAGCAGGCACGCAAAUUACCCACUCCCGGCACGGGGAGGUAGUGACGAAAAAUAACGAUGCGAGACUCAUCCGAGGCCUCGCAAUCGGAAUGAGUACACUUUAAAUCCUUUAACGAGGAUCAAUUGGAGGGCAAGUCUGGUGCCAGCAGCAGCGGUAAUUCCAGCUCCAAUAGCGUAUAUUAAAGUUGUUGCGGUUAAAAAGCUCGUAGUUGGAUUUCAGUUCUGGACUGACGGUACACCGCCAGGUGCUUACUGUCACGCUCCGAACAGAUCAUGAUGAUGAUGAUGCUGCUAAAGCCCACCACCACCGCCGCCGGCUCGCACGGGGUGCUUUUCACCGAGUGUCCCGAGUGGCUGGCACGUUUACUUUGAAAAAAUUAGAGUGCUCAGAGCAGGCUACGUGAACGGCCUGAAUGUCUAUGCAUGGAAUACUGGAAUAGGACCUCGGUUCUAUUUUUGUCGGUUUUUCGGAACCUGAGGUAAUGACUAAUCGGAACAGGCGGGGGCAUUCGUAUUGCGACGCUAGAGGUGAAAUUCUUGGACCGUCGCAAGACGAACUACUGCGAAAGCAUUUGCCAAGGAUGUUUUCAUUAAUCAAGAACGAAAGUUAGAGGAUCGAAGGCGAUCAGAUACCGCCCUAGUUCUAACCAUAAACGAUGCCAACUAGCGAUCCGCCGGCGUUAUUCCCAUGACCCGGCGGGCAGCUUCUGGGAAACCAAAGUGUUUGGGUUCCGGGGGAAGUAUGGUUGCAAAGCUGAAACUUAAAGGAAUUGACGGAAGGGCACCACCAGGAGUGGAGCCUGCGGCUUAAUUUGACUCAACACGGGGAACCUCACCAGGCCCAGACACCGGAAGGAUUGACAGAUUGAGAGCUCUUUCUCGAUUCGGUGGGUGGUGGUGCAUGGCCGUUCUUAGUUGGUGGAGCGAUUUGUCUGGUUAAUUCCGAUAACGAACGAGACUCUGGCCUAUUAACUAGUCGACGGAUCUCCCUACCAUUGCAAUUUGGUGGUGUGUCCAGUUCGCAGCUUCUUCUUAGAGGGAUAAGCGGCAAUUGUAUAUAGCCGCACGAGACUGAGCAAUAACAGGUCUGUGAUGCCCUUAGAUGUUCUGGGCCGCACGCGGGCUACACUGAAGGGAGCAGCGUGUUUUCCCCCUCCGAGAGGAGUGGGUAACCCGUUCAAAGCCGUUCUUGAUAGGGAUUGGGGCUUGCAAUUGUUUCCCAUGAACGAGGAAUUCCCAGUAAGUGCAAGUCAUCAGCUUGCACUGACUACGUCCCUGCCCUUUGUACACACCGCCCGUCGCUACUACCGAUUGAAUGAUUUAGUGAGGCCUUCGGACUGGCGCUCUUGGAUGGUCUACCCCCUGCGCGCUCGGSGCAAGAGGGUUUUCGCCUCGAGCUGACGGAAAGAUCUCCAAACUUGAUCAUUUAGAGGAAGUAAAAGUCGUAACAAGGU